AUGUUGGGUUAAGUACCCGCAACCGAGACGCAACCCCUAUUGUUAGUUGCCAUCAUUCAGUUGGGCACUCUAGCGAGACUGCCGGUAAUAAACCGGAGGAAGGUGGGGAUGACGUCAAAUCAUCAUGCCCCUUAUGACCUGGGCUACACACGUGCUACAAUGGUUGGUACAACGAGUUGCGAGUCGGUGACGGCGAGCUAAUCUCUUAAAGCCAAUCUCAGUUCGGAUUGUAGGCUGCAACUCGCCUACAUGAAGUCGGAAUCGCUAGUAAUCGCGGAUCAGCACGCCGCGGUGAAUACGUUCCCGGGCCUU
rnacentral:rRNA from 1 species